GAGGUUGCAGCUCAGCGGUAGAGCACUUGCCUAGCAUGUGUGAAGCACUGGGUUCAAUUCUCAGCACCACA
rnacentral:tRNA from 1 species